UACGUACCGGACGAACGUUAUUCGGAAUUACUGGGCUUAAAGAGUGCGUAGGCGGUCCUUCAGGUGGGGUGUGAAAGCCCACGGCUCAACCGUGGAAUUGCGCUUCAAACCGGAGGACUUGAGGGAGACAGGGGUGAGCGGAACUGAUGGUGGAGCGGUGAAAUGCGUUGAUAUCAUCAGGAACACCAGUGGCGAAGGCGGCUCACUGGGUCUCUUCUGACGCUGAGGCACGAAAGCUAGGGGAGCGAACGGG
rnacentral:misc_RNA from 1 species